UAUUGGUUCCCUCGCGACGAUAUGCUGCGAACCCCGCCAGGCCCGGAAGGGAGCAACGGUAGUAGCGGACUCGGGUGCCGUGGUGUAGCUAGUGUGG
rnacentral:SRP_RNA from 1 species